AUCCACACUCCAGAGAGGUGGGUGGCGGUAAUGCACCCGAACGCUGUUUGCCAACCGCCAUUAAAAGCAAACGAAGAAGAAGAAGAAGAACGAGGAAGCGUUGUGCUGAACGACGCUAUCAGGCCACUCCACAUUGAAGUCAGCGGAUGGCAGCACAUAUACAUCCUCUUGAAUAUAAAAUGUCGCUCUCUGUCGUCCGAGUUUGCUGUAAGACGGAACCAGGUGUUGAACGCAACAAUACAAAGUUAAGCCUGCAACUCUGCACAGGAUCCAUUGGAGGAGAAGGCCUGACCUGACUCAUCAUGGAGGAGCUUCCAGCCUGAAACACACCAUGUGGCAGAGAUGCCUUGUCUGAAGAUGGGAUUAUUGAUCCUCAUGUGGCCAAGAGCAGAAACACUGAGAGCAUUCGUCAGAAUAUGUAUUCAUGGAGAAGGGCAGUAAUGCACACUCAGUCACACUGCUGAUUACGGAAAAAACAUGCUGGACACAACUGAAAGGCCCGAGGAUGGUAUGUUUUCACACACGGCAUGCACUGACAGGCAGCAUUAUUAGUAUUCCUAGUGGUGAAGAAGUCACUGCUGAAGCAUGGACGAAUUCUGUUCCAGCUAGUCUGUGGUGGAAACAGUCAGACACUAUGCAAAAGCCAUGUCUCAUUCCUGCUUAAUGACUGGGUGAGUGCUUCCCUUAGCCUCAUCCAACUACACAGGAAUGAGUACAAUGAUACACUGAGAAGAUGAUGAUGCUAUUACUGUCAUUGUUUUCUUUCUUUUUUUUGUAUUUAUCUUUUUCUAAAUUCUGCAGUGGCUACUUCUGAAGCAGAAACAUGAGAAAAAUGAUCAACUUCUUUGUUCAUGAGCCACAAGGGAAAGCGGUGUGUUGUGCUGAAAACUAGCACCACCUGUCUUUGGAUGUUUAUCCUUGAAAGAUGUACCCCACUCUUCUUUUGCAAUAAACUUGUA